AACGAACGCUGGCGGCAGGCUUAACACAUGCAAGUCGAGCGGGCCCUUCGGGGUCAGCGGCGGACGGGUUAGUAACGCGUGGGAACGUGCCUUCUGCUCUGGAAUAGCCCUGGGAAACUGGGGGUAAUACCGGAUGUGCCCUGAGGGGGAAAGGUUUACCGGCAGGAGAUCGGCCCGCGUCUGAUUAGGUAAUUGGUGGGGUAACGGCCCACCAAGCCGACGAUCGGUAGCUGGUUUGAGAGGAUGAUCAGCAACACUGGAACUGAGACACGGCCCAAACUCCUACGGGUGGCAGCAGUGGGGAAUCUUAGACAAGGGGGGCAACCCUGAUCUAGCCAUGCCGCGUGAGUGAUGAAGGCCUUAGGGUUGUAAAGCUCUUUUAGUGGGGAAGAUAAUGACGGUACCCACAGAAAAAGCCCCGGCUAACUUCGUGCCAGCAGCCGCCGUAACAC
rnacentral:rRNA from 1 species